GAUUUCUGGUUUAAUGCGUUUGGCCCUCCCGGGGACCACCUCGGUGAGCGUGCCGAUGCGCGUUUGCCAUCCUUGUAGAGAACGUUUCUACCCUUCACUGGGCCGGAUUCGCAAUCUACAUCUUUUACUUUGAAAAAAUUAGAGUGUUUAAAGCAGGCUUGUGCUAUGAAUACAUUAGCAUGGAAUAAUAAUUUAGGACUUUAGUUCUAUUUUGUUGGUUUCUAGGACUGAAGUAAUGAUUGAUAGGGAUAGUUGGGGGUGCUAGUAUUCAGCGGCCAGAGGUGAAAUUCUUGGAUUCGCUGAAGACUAACUUAUGCGAAAGCAUU
rnacentral:rRNA from 1 species